UCAAGAAUAAAUUGAGCCUGCUGCCCAAUGUGAGGGGCAGGUCAGGAGGCUGUGUGUAAAUGGCUUCAUACUACUGCUUCCCUCUGUCCCCUUUACUACAGAUGUAUGUGCUCUGAGAAUACUUUCAAAUAAAGGAUGGCAACUGACUCCUCUGCCUGGCCUGUUGCUCACCUGUUCCUGAGAACAACUCCUCAUCUUGUGUGGUUCCAGAGAUGGUUCCCAGCAGCCACAUUUCUAAGAAAACAGAAGGUCCCUGCUUUUGAGACCUCAGUGGAUUUGGGGAGGCUGAGGACACAUUUCCUGCAUCAUAGUUUGAUGGGUGCCACCAUGUGGGCAUGGUA
rnacentral:lncRNA from 1 species